rnacentral:rRNA from 1 species
GACGAACGCUGGCGGCGUGCUUAACACAUGCAAGUCGUGCGGUAACAGGCGUAGCAAUACGUGCUGACGAGCGGCGAACGGGUGCGUAAUACAUGGGAAUCUGCCUUUUAGUGGGGAAUAACCCGGCGAAAGCCGGGCUAAUGCCGCAUAAGAUCUCCGGAUGAAAAGCGGGGGAGUCGUAAGACCUCGCGCUGAUAGAUGAGCCCAUGCCGGAUUAGCUAGUUGGNGAGGUAACGGGCUCACCAAGGCGACGAUCCGUAGCUGGUCUGAGAGGACGGCCAGCCACACUGGGACUGAGACACGGCCCAGACUCCUACGGAGGCAGCAGUGGGGAAUAUUGGACAAUGGGGAAACCCUGAUCCAGCGACGCCGCGUGUGU